CAUGCAAGUCGAGCGGAAACGAGUUAUCUGAACCUUCGGGGGACGAUAACGGCGUCGAGCGGCGGACGGGUGAGUAAUGCCUAGGAAAUUGCCCUGAUGUGGGGGAUAACCAUUGGAAACGAUGGCUAAUACCGCAUGAUGCCUACGGGCCAAAGAGGGGGACCUUCGGGCCUCUCGCGUCAGGAUAUGCCUAGGUGGGAUUAGCUAGUUGGUGAGGUAAGGGCUCACCAAGGCGACGAUCCCUAGCUGGUCUGAGAGGAUGAUCAGCCACACUGGAACUGAGACACGGUCCAGACUCCUACGGGAGGCAGCAGUGGGGAAUAUUGCACAAUGGGCGCAAGCCUGAUGCAGCCAUGCCGCGUGUGUGAAGAAGGCCUUCGGGUUGUAAAGCACUUUCAGUCGUGAGGAAGGUGGUGUAGUUAAUAGCUGCAUUAUUUGACGUUAGCGACAGAAGAAGCACCGGCUAACUCCGUGCCAGCAGCCGCGGUAAUACGGAGGGUGCGAGCGUUAAUCGGAAUUACUGGGCGUAAAGCGCAUGCAGGUGGUUUGUUAAGUCAGAUGUGAAAGCCCGGGGCUCAACCUCGGAAUAGCAUUUGAAACUGGCAGACUAGAGUACUGUAGAGGGGGGUAGAAUUUCAGGUGUAGCGGUGAAAUGCGUAGAGAUCUGAAGGAAUACCGGUGGCGAAGGCGGCCCCCUGGACAGAUACUGACACUCAGAUGCGAAAGCGUGGGGAGCAAACAGGAUUAGAUACCCUGGUAGUCCACGCCGUAAACGAUGUCUACUUGGAGGUUGUGGCCUUGAGCCGUGGCUUUCGGAGCUAACGCGUUAAGUAGACCGCCUGGGGAGUACGGUCGCAAGAUUAAAACUCAAAUGAAUUGACGGGGGCCCGCACAAGCGGUGGAGCAUGUGGUUUAAUUCGAUGCAACGCGAAGAACCUUACCUACUCUUGACAUCCAGAGAACUUUCCAG
rnacentral:rRNA from 1 species